CAUGUCUUUUUGAUAAUAAUAUAAAGUCUAAUCUGCCCACUGAAGUUUUUAAAGGGCCGCAGUAAUCUGACUGUGCAAAGGUAGCAUAAUCAUUUGUCUCUUAAUUAGAGGCUGGUAUGAAUGAUUGAACGAGGUAAAAACUGUCUCAUUAUUAAAAUAAUAAAAAUUUAGCUUUUUAGUCAGAAGGCUAAAAUUCUUUUGGAGGACGAGAAGACCCUAUAGAUCUUUAUAAUAAAAGUAAGUUCUUUGAUUUGGAUUAAAACUUCAGUGAGCUUUUUUUUAUUAUUUUGUUGGGGUGACAUGAAAAUUAAUUGAACUUUUCAUUUUUUAAAACAUUAAUAAAUGAUUUUAUGAUCCUGUAUUAUUGAUUAUAAGAAUAAGUUACCUUAGGGAUAACAGCGUAAUUUUAUUGGAGAGUUCAUAUUGAUAAUAAAGUUUGCGACCUC
rnacentral:rRNA from 1 species